rnacentral:rRNA from 1 species
AUUGAACGCUGGCGGCAGGCUUAACACAUGCAAGUCGAGCGGAGAUGAGGUGCUUGCACCUUAUCUUAGCGGCGGACGGGUGAGUAAUGCUUAGGAAUCUGCCUAUUAGUGGGGGACAACAUUCCGAAAGGAAUGCUAAUACCGCAUACGCCCUACGGGGGAAAGCAGGGGAUCUUCGGACCUUGCGCUAAUAGAUGAGCCUAAUUCGGAUUAGCUAGUUGGUGGGGUAAAGGUCGACCAAGGCGACGAUCUGUAGCGGGUCUGAGAGGAUGAUCCGCCACACUUGGACUGAUACACGGCCCAGACUCCUACGGGAGGCAGCAGUGGGGAAUAUUUGACAAUGGGCGGAAGCCUGAUCCAGUCAUGCCGCGUGUGUGAAGAAGGCCUUUUGGUUGUAAAGCACUUGAAGCGAGGAGGAGGCUACCUGGAUUAAUACUCUAGGAUAGUGGACGUUACUCGCAGAAUAAGCACCGGCUAACUCUGUGCCAGCCGCCGCCGUAACAC